GCACCCGUAGCUCAGCUGGAUAGAGCGCUGCCCUCCGAAGGCAGAGGUAAGUCAAGUGGCUUUGUUGUGGGUGUA
rnacentral:tRNA from 1 species